CACGUAGGGCGCAAGCGUUGUCCGGAAUUAUUGGGCGUAAAGGGCGCGUAGGCGGCUGUUCAAGUCGGGGGUGAAAGCCUGUGGCUCAACCACAGAAUUGCCUCGAUACUGGACGGCUCGAGACCGGAAGAGGUCAGUGGAACUGCGAGUGUAGAGGUGAAAUUCGUAGAUAUUCGCAAGAACACCAGUGGCGAAGGCGGCUCACUGGCCCGAUACUGACGCUGAGGCACGAAAGCGUGG
rnacentral:rRNA from 1 species